UGAGGAAUAUUGGUCAAUGGGCGAAAGCCUGAACCAGCCAAGUCGCGUGAGGGAAGACGGUCCUAUGGAUUGUAAACCUCUUUUGCAGGGGAGCAAUGCCCGGUACGCGUACCGGGAGGGAGAGUACCCUGAGAAAAAGCAUCGGCUAACUCCGUGCCAGCAGCCGCGGUAAUACGGAGGAUGCGAGCGUUAUCCGGAUUUAUUGGGUUUAAAGGGUGCGUAGGCGGACCUGUAAGUCAGCGGUAAAAAUGCGGUGCUCAACGCCGUAGUGCCGUUGAAACUGCAGGUCUUGAGUGAGCGAGAAGUAUGCGGAAUGCGUGGUGUAGCGGUGAAAUGCAUAGAUAUCACGCAGAACUCCGAUUGCGAAGGCAGCAUACCGGCGCUCAACUGACGCUGAGGCACGAAAGCGUGGGGAUCGAACAGGA
rnacentral:rRNA from 1 species